CCUUAGCCCCGAUAGCAGUGGAAAUCCUUUUGUGCCGGUGUUCGGCACAAAAGAUUGCAACGGAUAGCGGGAAAAAGC
rnacentral:sRNA from 1 species